rnacentral:rRNA from 1 species
CCUACGGGGGGCUGCAGUGGGGAAUAUUGGACAAUGGGGGAAACCCUGAUCCAGCAAUGCCGCGUGUGUGAAGAAGGCCUGCGGGUUGUAAAGCACUUUCGGUUGGGAAGAAAAGUUUGGCGCCAAUACCGCCGAACCUUGACGUUACUGACAGAAGAAGCACCGUCUAACUCUGUGCCAGCAGCCGCGGUAAUACAGAGGGUGCAAACGUUGAGUGGAAUCACUGGGGGUGAAGCUGCAAUAGGUGUGUGAAAUCCCCGGGAUUAACCUGGGAACUGCAUUCGAUACUACAUGGCUAGAGUAUGGUAGAGGGAAGUGGAAUUUCCGGUGUAGCGGUGAAAUGCGUAGAUAUCGGAAGGAACACCAAUGGCGAAGGCAGCUUCCUGGACUAAUACUGACACUGAGGCACGAAAGCGUGGGUAGCAAACAGGAUUAGAUACCCCAGUAGUC